rnacentral:lncRNA from 10 species
GCUAUUUCUGUCCCAUUUUACAGACAAGGAACCUGAGGUCUGGAGACAAUUGAAUCAGCUUCUCCAGCUUCCACUGCCAGUGAACCCCAUUCUGAUUCACCAAUCCCAGGCUUUUCCAGAUGUCUGUCAUGGCUGGAAAAUAGAAGUUUCUUCACAUAAUGCCAUUUUUCAGAGGCAGAACUGGUCCAGAUUUCUGGAGCUCUUUUCUAAUUUUUUUAACUUUAAAAUCCUAACCAUUCCUAAUCCUGGAGUGUGUCAACCAUUUCACCUCUUUCCUGCAAGCUAAGAGGCCACUAAACAACCUUGGCUGGAAGGGCUGAGCAGCCAAACCCAUAGAGCGACAGAAACCACCAAGGUCAAAGUCAUGGGCAGUUCUAGUCUGAGUCCUGCAUUUUUGAAAGACAAGACUCCAUCUUGAGAAAAAAAAAUAUAAAGCUAGAGGAAAAUGUUGAAAAUGGGAAUCCACCAACGUGGAAGGCUUUACCCAAGAUUUUCAAAGCUAAACACUGUGGGAAACAGUAGCAGAUGGGCUGAACAUAUUGCAGGGAUUGGACCGCACAACUGCCGGCACCGUGUGCCAGGACUUCCUCUCUGUUUCCGGAUCACACUCCGUGACCCCAUGAGCUCCUCAGGACAGGGAUGAUGUCACCAUCAUUUUUGUGUCUUCAACUCCUCCACCUCAUAGAUUCUCAGUGAAUGUUUGCUGAAUCAGUAGCGCCAGCUUCACAUGCUUUAGAGGCAGAAGAUACAAGCUGGAAUCUCAACUCCAGCACUUAAUAGCUUUGUGAUCUUAGCACCUAGCACCCUGCCUUAACACAGAGAAAAUGUCCACUAAAUAUUUAUGGAAUAAACAGGAAUGAAUGAAUUAAUGAAUGCACAAAUGGAUAAAGUACAUGAAGUAUUUCAAGAGUGAGAAAGCAGAUAUGAUCGUCAAUGAUGAAGCAUGCAGUAAAUAACCCUCCCUCCCUGGAAGUGAAGACAGCCUGUGGGGGAGAACUGGCUCCAUUAAAGGCUUCAAGCCACAGGAGUUGUUUUCUCCGGAGAUGAUGAACGUGGGCUGGAAAAAGAGACAAGAGUCACCUACUUCGUGCAGCUUUUUCCCCCCAAACUGCUAAAAGUCCUUUACCCUCAAAUAAAAUCAUCAAGAGAGAGCUGGAAAUGGCAUCUCUUGCCACAGAUCUGUGUUUUAUUGUUAUUGUUUUCACAUAGUAUUUACUUAAAGUCUGCUGUAUAUCCAGCCCAUGUGUAACUCACCAAAUUUUGAGCAUCUUUUUUUGACUGUGCCUGCCUAUCCAGUUCUUUGUAAGAUCCUUGAGAAAUAGAAUUGAGCCUUUUCUUCUUUGUAGCUUUGGCCUCUCAGCCAAGGCCUGGCAAAGAGUGUGCAUUCAAUUAAUGUUGGUUGAAUGGAUGAAUAGAAAUGAAUGGAUGGGUGGGUGGAUGGAUGGAUGGAUGGAUGGACCAAUCAGUCAAUAGAUCUCCCCAUUUUUAAGCUCCUGUGUGUCAAAGUUCCCUGGCAUUGAGAUUGUCCUAUCAAUGCACAGCAUUAAAUUCCUGCCGUCCAUCUGUUUCGAUGGUAAGCUUGGAGAAAUACUUGUGGAAAGAGUUCCUUGCUUCUCUGAUGCCACAUGUGGAAUGCUCUUUGCCAAAUGCACUAUUUGUCACUGAACACCACUCUUCCUGAUAUCUUAUUCCAUUUAUAGAUUCUGGCUCUGGAGUGCAA